GGGAGCCACGUCUGUCCCGGUCGGGGACUGAGCCGCUAUUGGCGUCCGGGCCGCGAUCCGGGGGCUGCUGGGAAGAUGGCGGACUCGGUGGCCCGCCGAUGAGGAAGCCGCGGAGGGAGCCCGGCUCCCGGGCCCCGAGACCGACUGAGGGAGCGACCUGCGCGGGGCCUGGGGAGUCAUGGUCUCCAACACCAAACUCCAUGCUUCGAGUCCUGCUCUCUGCCCAGGCCUCUGCUGCUCGGCUCUCUGGCCUGCUGCUGCUCCCGCCAGUACAGCCCUGUUGUCUGGGGCCCGGCAAGUGGGGGGACUGGCCUCCUGGAGGAGGCCUCCAUGCAGGCCCCGUGCAGGGGCUACAGCGGCUUCUGGAACAGGCGAGGAGCCCCGGGGAGCUGCUGCGCUGGCUGGGCCAGAACCCCACCAAGGUGCGCGCCCAUCACUACCCCGUGGCACUUCGUCGUCUGGGCCAGCUCUUGGGGUCUCAGCCACGGCCCCCUCCUGUGGAGCAGGCCACACUACAGGACUUGAGUCAGCUCAUCAUCCGAAACUGCCCCUCCUUUGAUAUUCACACCAUCCACGUGUGUCUGCACCUUGCAGUCUUACUUGGCUUCCCAUCAGAUGGGCCCUUGAUGUGUGCCCUGGAGCAGGAGAGAAGGUUCCGCCUCCCUCCGAAGCCACCUCCCUCUCUGCAACCUGUCCUUCGCGGUGGGCAAAGAUUGGAAGCUGCUCUGAGCUGCCCUCGUUUCCUGAGGCAUCCACGGCAGCAUCUCAUCCGCAGCCUGGCAGAGGCCAGGCCGGAGGAACUGACACCCCACGUGAUGGUGCUCCUGGCCCAGCACCUGGCCCGGCACCGGUUGCGGGAGCCCCAGCUUCUGGAAGCCAUUGCCCAUUUCCUGGUGGUCCAGGAAAUGCAGCUCAGCAGCAAGGUGGUACAGAAGUUGGUCCUGCCCUUUGGGCGGCUGAACUACUUGCCCCUGGAACAGCAGUUUAUGCCCUGCCUUGAGAGGAUCCUGGCUCGGGAAGCAGGGGUGGCUCCCCUGGCUACUGUCAACAUCUUGAUGUCACUGUGCCAGCUGCGGUGCCUGCCCUUCAGGGCCCUGCACUUUGUCUUUUCCCCAGGAUUCAUCAACCACAUCAGUGGCACCCCUCACGCCCUGAUUGUGCGGCGCUACCUCUCCCUGCUGGACGCAGCCGUGGAGCUGGAACUUCCAGGAUACCGGGGUCCCCGCCUUCCCCGAAGGCAGCAAGUGCCCAUCUUCCCCCAGCCACUCAUCACUGACCGUGCCCGCUGCAAGUACAGUCACAAGGAUAUAGUGGCGGAGGGGCUGCGCCAGCUGCUGGGGGAAGAGAAGUACCGGCAGGACCUGACCGUGCCUCCAGGCUACUGCACAGACUUCCUGUUGUGUGUCAGCAGCUCUGGUGCCGUGCUGCCCGUGAGGACCCAGGACCCCUUCCUACCAUACCCUCCCAGGUCCUGUCCCCAGGGCCAGGCUGCCUCUCAGCCCACGACCCACGACCCGGCCCAAAGGGUGGUGCUGAUGCUGCGGGAGCGCUGGCAUUUCUGCCGCGACGGCCGAGUGCUGCUGGGCUCGCGGGCCCUACGGGAGCGGCACCUGGGCCUGAUGGGCUACCAGCUCCUGCCGCUGCCCUUCGAGGAACUGGAGUCACAGAGAGGCCUGCCCCAGCUCAAGAGCUACCUGAGGCAGAAGCUCCAGGCCUUGGGCCUCCGCUGGGGGCCUGAAGGGGGAUUCGGGUGAGCACCACCAUGCGGAGCGGCACUGUGAGGAUGAGGAUGAAGGGGAAGGCCAGGGAGGCGGCUGUGGACAUGACCGCCCAGAGCAAGGCCAAGCAGAGCAGCUGCAGGGCUGUGAACAGGCGCCACGGCCUUGCUCAUGACGGUGAGCGCGUUGGCGUGGGUGACGGAGCGGACAGUGGCGGCAGCCAGCCAGGGCAGGCCGAAGAGGGCACAGAUGCCUCCCAUGGCCACGAUAAGCAGCAGGUCCAGGUGGAAGCCGGAGCCCUUCUGCAGCAUCCGCUCCUUCUUGGAGAUGAUCAGCCUGAGUGGGGACAGGCACCCACUGACGCCCUGGAACCGGCUUGGCACAGAGCCGUGUCUUUCCAGAGCAUCCAGCCAGUAGCCUCUGUCUGUUUUUGGAAGCUGGUGGUCCCUGCCCAUCCCGUCAGGAUAAGACCUCUGUCACGGCUGAGCCUUCCCCAGGCCACCCUCCCUGCCCUUCAGGACAGCUUCCGGUCCGUACCGCGCCCAUCCCGGCAAACGGCGCCCUCCUGGCUGGGACCACUCACGUGGUGAUCUGAGUCUCCAUGAAAAUGAGGAUGAAGACCAAGAUGGCGGGCAGCAGGCUGGCAACCAUCAUCCACACGGGGAAGGAGCUGUUCUCCCCCAGAGGGUUGAUGACCCAGCCCCGCUUUUCUGGGGCUGUCACGGAGAAUCCACUGGGCACGCUCAGCUUCUGCAGGACAGAGGUGGGCCUGGGGGUCGGUGAACCUUGGAGGGAGAGCCCUGAACUGCGACAGGCAGGGUGAAUGCCGAGGGCCUGCUGUGGCAGAGGCCUGGUGUGUGCCCAGCUGAGAGGCAGGGACUGGGCUGGAGAACAUCUGGAGCCAGGUGCCAGGCAGCACCCCCUCCCUGCUGCGUGUGCUCUACCUUACCUGGGUAUAGGUGUCCUCAAUACUGUAAUCCACAAGCACCAUGAUGAGGAUCGCGAUGGGCACCCCAAAGUCCCCAAUCACCCGCCGCACCUGUGGGCAAGCACCGUGCUCAGGCCCCCCGCCUCCCUCCAGCCGUGACUCAGUCACCCUUCCUGGCCCCCCGCUUCCACCUCCCUCCGGCAUUCCAGCCCACACACCCGGCCAGGGAAGAACCGGCUGUUCUUGAAUUUGCGCAGGAAGAAAGCGAUAAAGAAGGUGCCGGCCAUGAGCACCAGCGACAGCAGGGCCGUGUUGGGCUGGCCCCGGGGCCUCCCCUGCCCGGCUGGCACAGAUGAGCUCCCAUUCCCCGGCCCCAGCGUGGCUCCUGCCCCGUGCCACGUGGUGUUCUCGCCGCUGUCUGCCUCAGAGCUAUUGGAGACGGAGCAGCCGUGGAGGGGGUGUUCCUGGAAGAUCUGGGGAGAGGACAAAGGACUCCAUCAGUGAAACUGGCAAGAUUUCUGGGCCUGGAUGUAUGCUGA